rnacentral:tRNA from 1 species
CAUUAGAUGACUGAAAAGCCAAGUAUUGGUCUCUUAAACCAUAUAAUAGUAAUCUAGCACUUACUUCUAAUGA